rnacentral:rRNA from 1 species
GACGAACGCUGGCGGCGUGCUUAACACAUGCAAGUCGAACGGAAAGGCCCUGCUUGCAGGGUGCUCGAGUGGCGAACGGGUGAGUAACACGUGGGUGAUCUGCCCCUUACUUUGGGGUAAGCCUGGGAAACUGGGUCUAAUACUGGAUAGGACCAUGCUGUAGGUGGUGUGGUGGAAAGAUUAGUUUCGGUAAGGGAUGAGCUCGCGGCCUAUCAGCGUGUUGGUGGGGUAAUGGCCUACCAAGGCGUCGACGGGUAGCCGGCCUGAGAGGGUGGACGGCCACAUUGGGACUGAGAUACGGCCCAGACUCCUACGGGAGGCAGCAGUGGGGAAUAUUGCACAAUGGGCGCAAGCCUGAUGCAGCGACGCCGCGUGGGGGAUGACGGCCUUCGGGUUGUAAACUCCUUUCAGCCAUGACGAAGCCCUUGUGGUGACGGUAGUGGUAGAAGAAGCACCGGCUAACUACGUG